CUGGAAUUAGAGGUGUGAGCCACCACGCCCAGCCAACUAUCUCAAUCCUUAAAAUAUAUUGUUACAUUAGCCAUUCUCUACAGACUCAGUAAGCUCUCAUUAUUUCUUUAUUUCUAACUAGCUUGCACUCACUUGGUGAUGACUGGACAAUUCUUUGGCUCCCACACACUACAAAAAAUACAAAUAAAAACAAAACCCAGGUUCAAAUUACAGUUCAUCCGCUCAGUAGCUAUGACUUCAAUCAAGCCAUUUAAAGUCUUGGUUUUCUCUUUUUAAGAUGGGGGAUAUCAACGGUAUUUAGAAUGGAUAUAGGGUAGAAUAAGGAUAAAGUUCAAAUAUUUUAAUGUGGCCUCCAAGGCUUUCUCUGAUCUGGCUUCUGUGUACCUCUCUAUCCUUAUUUCCCAUCAGAACUGGGUCAUAUGGUCACCUCUCCCUGCAAGGGAGGCUGGGAAGAUGUCAUGAUAGUUUCAGACCAAUUGUGAUUCUGCCUUGGGAUGUUGCCACUGAACAAUAUCAAGGAUCUUUUAGUGAGGAAAUAGGAAAGCCACUGAAGAUGCCUACCACAGCCUUUUUCUGCAUACCUUCCCUGGCCAUGAUUGUAUCAAGUUUGGGUUGCUGUAAUUUGUGUUAUUAACACGUUAGGAGGGUUUUGUUUUGUCGUAUUAGGAUAAAAAUAGAGUGUCGAUAUGAUUAUUAAACUUCACUUCUAAGAAUUUCUGAGAUGCCCUCUUCUCCCCCUCCCUGCUACAGAGGCAUGGCCCUGCUGAUUGAGAAUCAUCCGUUUUCUCCCCAUUUCAGCAUAUGAAGGCUUGCAAUAAAGCAGUCACCAAAACAAAAGGAAAAAAAAAAUUGUUUAGGGCAUAAUAAGUGUGGACCUGUCUGGAGGCCAAAGCAAUUCCAUCUUCAAUGCCUAAUCCACCACGUUGGCUUCUGAUUAACCCCAGGUCUGAGAAGGCCUCUAAGAUUUUCAGUUUAUCUACUGUCCCUACGUAAGACCAGAACGUGAUACACUUCUGGGAAAUCUGCUGGGGGCCUUCCAAGAAAAGUAUCCCUACAGAAGAAGAGACAUAUGGAGGAGGAAACACACCUUCUUCUUUGCUGGAUUUGCUGUAUCUGGGUGUGAUGCCUGGAACUGUGGCAACCAUGUUUUGAUCAUGGGAGACUAAACUAACAUGCUAAAAAUACCAGAGCAAAAGCCUGAGAAAAACUGGGUCCUUGAUGGUACUGAUGACCCAGCCUAGGGUUAUUACAGCUUGAAACUUCAUUUUAUUUUACAUAGUAAAUGUCUAUAUUGUUUAAGCUGGUUUUAGUUGGGUAUUCUGUUCAUAUUGCUUAGAGCAUCCUGACAUAGGUUCUCAGAGAAAACAAUACAUAUGAGGGUUCUUUUUUGUUUGUUUGUUUUUGACAAAGUCUCACUCUAUUGGCCAAGUUGUAGUGCAGUGGUGCAA